GACGAACGCUGGCGGCGUGCUUAACACAUGCAGUCGAACGGAAAGGCCCUGCUUUUGUGGGGUGCUCGGGUGGCGAACGGGUGAGUAACACGUGAGUAACCUGCCCUUGACUUUGGGAUAACUUCAGGAAACUGGGGCUAAUACCGGAUAGGAGCUCCUGCUGCAUGGGGGGGGGUGGAAAGUUUCGGCGGUUGGGGAUGGACUCGCGGCUUAUCAGCUUGUUGGUGGGGUAGUGGCUUACCAAGGCUUUGACGGGUAGCCGGCCUGAGAGGGUGACCGGCCACAUUGGGACUGAGAUACGGCCCAGACUCCUACGGGAGGCAGCAGUGGGGAAUAUUGCACAAUGGGCGGAAGCCUGAUGCAGCAACGCCGCGUGCGGGAUGACGGCCUUCGGGUUGUAAACCGCUUUCGCCUGUGACGAAGCGUGAGUGACGGUAAUGGGUAAAGAAGCACCGGCUAACUACGUG
rnacentral:rRNA from 1 species